rnacentral:rRNA from 1 species
UACGUAGGGUGCAAGCGUUAAUCGGAAUUACUGGGCGUAAAGGGCUCGUAGGUGGCCAACUAAGUCAGACGUGAAAUCCCCAGGCUCAACUUGGGAACUGCGUCUGAUACUGGAUGGCUUGAAUUCGGGAGAGGGAUGCAGAAUUCCAGGUGUAGCGGUGAAAUGCGUAGAUAUCUGGAGGAACACCGGUGGCGAAGGCGGCAUCCUGGACCAACACUGACACUGAGGAGCGAAAGCCAGGGGAGCAAACGGG